UGGGGGAUAUUGCACAAUGGGCGAAAGCCUGAUGCAGCGACGCCGCGUGGGGGAUGAAGGCUUUCGGGUUGUAAACCUCUUUCGCUAUCGAACAAGGCCCGCUUAGGGUGGGUUGAGGGUAGGUGGAGAAGAAGCGCCGGCUAACUACGUGCCAGCAGCCGCGGUAAUACGGAGGGCGCGAGCGUUGUCCGGAAUUAUUGGGCGUAAAGGGCUUGUAGGCGGCUUGUUGCGCCUGCUGUGAAAACGCGGGGCUUAACUUCGCGCGUGCAGUGGGUACGGGCAGGCUUGAGUGUGGUAGGGGUGACUGGAAUUCCAGGUGUAGCGGUGGAAUGCGCAGAUAUCUGGAGGAACACCGAUGGUGAAGGCAGGUCACUGGGCCAUUACUGACGCUGAGGAGCGAAAGCAUGGGUAGCGAACAGG
rnacentral:rRNA from 1 species